rnacentral:rRNA from 1 species
UACGUAGGAGACGAGCGUUGUCCGGAGUUACUGGGCGUAAAGGGUGCGCAGGUGGCGGCGCGCGUGGGGGGUGAAAUCGCCCGGCUUAACUGGGCGGGGGCCUUCCAGACGGCGUGGCUUGAGCAGCGGAGGGGGGACGUGGAAUUCCCGGGUGGAGCGGUGAAAUGCGUAGAGAUCCGGAGGAACACCGACGGCGCAGGCAGCGUCCUGGCC